CAGUUCCCUUGCUGGCUUCGACUGAAUGAUUCCCCUGUGAAGUCCCUUGUUUACUGUAUUUGUAAUUAGCCACCAAGAACUUGAGUAACCGGUUUCCGAGGAGAACAUAUAUCCUGAAUCAGUUCCUGGACAUUUGUUUGAGGUCUUGUAAGGGAAACUGAAGGGAAUUGUGUAUUGAACAGGAUGGCUUAGACCUGCUCAACUUCUGAGAAUUGAGGCAAAGUGGGCAAUCCAGAUGUAUCACUUGACUUUCUGACUACUGGAAGAAUUUCCCUUCAUUAUUGCACACCAGGGGUAUCCCACAGGCUCAUAAGUGAAAAGGACUUGCCUUGUCUCAGACGAGACUUUGGACUGUGAACUUUUGGGUUAAUGCUGAAAUGAGGGCCAGCUUCACGAAAUUGUAGAGGAGAGGUUCCUUGCAUAUCAUUUGAUCUUCUCUCAGCAGAGUUGGCCGGUCAUGCCAUCCUGAGUUUCAGGAAAGAACCACGUGAAGAAGAAGAUGAUGAAGAGCCAAGGAGCCUAUCAGGAAGGCAAUGAAGAGACUGGCAAAGGCAAGAAGGUACUAUCACUGCUAGAGAGAUCCAGGGGGAAGGCUGUGUGACCAGAGUCAAGGAACAGGAACAUCUGGAGAAAGCCUGCCCAAACAAGAGCUGAAGCCGUGUGGAGGAGACGCAGCAGCUACCACUGCAAAUGCUACUCGAGGCAGAGAGACGGAGGAGGUGGAAUGUGGCCUGUUUCCUCCUUGGGCCCUUCGGUUUUCCACAGUGUCUUUCACUGGCCUUCUUGAAAUCCAGGAAACAAGAGAGCUGGAAAAUAUUGGUCUCUGAGUUAUAGCACAGGGCAGAGAAGGGCAGAAAAUGCACCUGAAAGAAAACAGCUUUCUCCUCACCAACUCUUCAAAGAUCCAGUUGAUACAAAAUGCACAUGCUAAAAUAUGAUUCCCCAGUCCUGUCCAAGCUGAUGUGGUCUUCUCCAAGCCCCCAGUCCUGACCAAGCUGAAUCUCCUUUGUCACUCAUGGGGCAACAGGGACUUACCUGCCAGUGCAGGAGAAAGGAGAGAUCCUUUAGAACAGGAGCUAAGAUGCCAGGAGCUCACGCAAAAUGCUUGAAGAAAGGGGCUUAGCCAGAAACCGAACUGGGAGUUGAUGCCCAGUUUAGGAAGAGUUCAAAUCGAGGAGUCAGAAGCAGCAAAUUCUACAUCAGAUCCACAAAUUCUUAACUAGAAGAAUAAAAACAAGUCAAAUCAAGUUGGGCUCAAAAGGAAUAUAGGGGCAGAAGAGGUGAUGUGCAGAUGGGUGUGCCUGGCCAAAUGGUGGGGGUAGGCACAGGCAGCACACACCAUUGAUUUCUUUGCUUCCUUUUUUAAAGAUUUUAUUUUUAAGAGCAGUUUCAGGUUCAAAGCAAAGUUAGAAGUACCAAGAUUUUUUCCAUAUACCCCUGUCCCUACAUAUGCAUAGCCCCCUCAUUAUCAAAAUCCCCUAUCAGAGUGUAAUAAAUGACAAUGAACCUACGUUGGACGCAUCAUAAUCACGUAAAGUCCUGGUGUACAUUAGCUUUCACUCUUGGUGUUGUACAUUCUAUGAAUUCGGACAAAUGUGUAAUGGCAUGUGUCCACUGUUAUGGUAUCAUACAGAGCACUUUCACUGCCACAAAAAUUUUCUGCUCUCUGCCUAUAGUUGGGGAUCAGAAACCAAUACCCCAAAAUAUGGCAUUUUGACAUGCUGAACUGAAGAAGCUUUAAUGUCUCUCUGACCUUCCUUCUUCUGCCCCACCUUCUUUCCCAAAACCUAGGAUUAUCUUGUUCCCUUAUCUGCUUAAAGUCCGAACCUGCCAAAGAAGAAAACAAUGACCUCUGCACCCUUCCCUGAGUUUCCAUUAACUGAACCUAGAUUCCAGGAAGAAAGAUUGAAGUCUGUCAACACACCUGGACAGACUUUUAUCACAAACCAUUGUCCACUCUGCUAACCCAACAGAUUUUGUCCCAGACAACUGUAUUCUCUUCAAGCCCAUUGAAUUCUCCCUAGGAAUCAUGCAUUGCCCCUCAACAGAAUUCCUCUUGUCCCUACUCACAUAGUUUGCUUUGCCGGGAUCCUAAGAUUUCUUGGAAAACCUUAGGACCAGGAGGUAUUCUUGUGGACUCAUUCUGUUUUUCUGUAACCUCAAGAUGGUGUAUAAGCUUCUGCCCCCUAAUCGGGGGUUGGAGUAAUCACUGUGUCUCCUGUGUGAAAGUAAACACAUUUGUAUGCCCUUUUCCCAAUUAAUCUACCUUCUGUGAGUUGAUUUUUUAGCGAAACUUCAGAGGGCUCUUUGACUCCUACACUAUUUAUCCCUCCCCCUCCCUUCAGCCCCUAACAACCACUGAUCUUCUUACUGCCUCCACAGUUUUACCUUUUCCAGAAGGUCAUAUAGUUGAAAUAUUACAGUCCGUUACCUUUUCAGAUUAGCUUCUGUCACUUAGUAAUAUAUAUUUAAGAUUCCUCCAUGUCUUUUCAUGGCUUGAUAGUUCAUUUCUUUUCAGUAUUAAAUGAUAUUCCAUUGUUUGAUGUACCACAAUUUAUCCCUUACCUACUGAAGGAAUACCUGGUUGUUUCCAAGAUUUACCUGGCCACCUAUGGAAUACUGUAGUUUCCAAAACUGGCCAUAAGAUAUUUCCUACUAUUCUUGCAUAUUGCAGUUGCAUAAGAAUUGCGUCCUAAGAUUUUCCAGAAAUUUGGCACUUCUCCAUCAAGACAUGGAUUCUACUUCCUCUUCCCUUAAGUCUAGGCAGAUUUGUGACUGGUAACCACAGAGCAUGGUAGAAAUUACACGGAGUGAUUUCUGAGGUUAUAAAUGAUGAAGCUCAUCUACCUCACAGGAACAUAGGCAUUGAGUCCUGAGCCACCAAGCAAGUGUCCAACUACUCUGAAACUGCCAUGUGUUAAGUGAAAAGAUAGCAAGGGGAAGCACUGAAGCUGCAUCGUGAGCGAGAGAUGCCCAGCCACCAGGCAGCUGCUCCACCCACCUCACCCUCAGCCUACUUUCCUCCACCCUCAACCUUGUACUUUUGUUGCUCCAACCACUGUCUGGUUACAAUCAGAGGAGAGAUUCCAAGACAGUAGCACCCAGCUAAACCCUUCCUGAAUUCGCAACUCACAAAAGUUAUAAAAGACAAUAAAAUGACUGUUCUUUAAGUUAUAUGUUUUGAAGUGAAUUAUUAUUCAGCAACAAAUAACCCAUAACAUCAUCCUUUUUUCCUCACCUCCACUUCCCAGUUUUGCCUCCAGUCUGAGUACUUAAAGUUAGGCCUACAAAUCCAGUCCUUUCCCUUCAAAGGAAACUUAUUAUAAACUGAGGCAUCCAGAAAAAGGCUGUCAUGAGGUUUUAAUGUCAUUCUCUGCUCUCUUCAUU
rnacentral:lncRNA from 10 species